GCCUGGCUGGCUCAGUGGAAAGAGCAUGUGACUCUUGAUCUCCAGGUCAUGAGUUCGAGCCUCACGUUGGAUG
rnacentral:tRNA from 1 species